rnacentral:rRNA from 1 species
GCGGCAAGACGGAAAGACCCCGUGAACCUUUACUAUAGCUUGACACUGAACAUUGAGCCUUGAUGUGUAGGAUAGGUGGGAGGCUUUGAAGUGUGGACGCCAGUCUGCAUGGAGCCAACCUUGAAAUACCACCCUUUAACGUUUGAUGUUCUAACCUAGGCCCAUAAACUGGGUCGGGGACCGUGUCUGGUGGGUAGUUUGACUGGGGCGGUCUCCUCCUAAAGAGUAACGGAGGAGCACGAAGGUUGGCUAAGCAUGGUCGGACAUCAUGCGGUUAGUGCAAAGGCAUAAGCCAGCUUGACUGCGAGAGUGACGGCUCGAGCAGGUACGAAAGUAGGUCUUAGUGAUCCGGUGGUUCUGAAUGGAAGGGCCAUCGCUCAACGGAUAAAAGGUACUCCGGGGAUAACAGGCUGAUACCGCCCAAGAGUUCAUAUCGACGGCGGUGUUUGGCACCUCGAUGUCGGCUCAUCACAUCCUGGGGCUGAAGUAGGUCCCAAGGGUAUGGCUGUUCGCCAUUUAAAGUGGUACGCGAGCUGGGUUUAGAACGUCGUGAGACAGUUCGGUCCCUAUCUGCCGUGGGCGUUGGAAGAUUGAGAGGGGUUGCUCCUAGUACGAGAGGACCGGAGUGAACGCACCACUGGUGUUCGGGUUGUCAUGCCAAUGGCAUUGCCCGGUAGCUAAGUGCGGAAGAGAUAACCGCUGAAAGCAUCUAAGCGGGAAACUUGCCUCGAGAUG